AUGCUGGACCUGAAGGUAGUGCCUGAACACUCUAUGGGGAAUGAGCAGUGCGAAUUCACGCUGGGAAUACUUCUGGCUCAGGCAGUAGCCAUUCUUCAGAAUCCCUGUCGCAUCCUCAAAAAUAUCCAGGUUCUCUACAGUGACUAGUCUCCUCUAAGCCAUGACCUCAUCCUUAACCUGACUCUGGACGGGAUCAAACUACUGUUUGAUGCUUUCAAUCAGAGACUCCAGGUGAUUGAAGUUUAUGACUUGAAAAAAGUAAAAUUAAAGUAUUGUGGAGUGCAUUUUAACUCUCAGGCCGUUGCUCCUACCGUUGAGCAAAUCGACCAGUCUUUUGCCACAACCUAUCCUGGAGUGUACAACUCUGCUGAGCACUUCCAUCUCAACUUCCGAGGAUUGUCUUUCUCUUCUCAGUUAGACUCAUGGACAGAGGCUCCCAAGUAUGAGGUUAGUUUUGCUCAUGGUCUGGCUUCUCUUCAGAUACCCCAUGGAGCAACUGUAGAACGAACGUACAUCUAUAGUGGAAACAGCUGCCAGGAUGUCAAGGCUCCUGUGAUGCCCCUAAGCUGUUUCCUGGAGAAUGUAUGUGCUGAAAGUGUAGAUGUUCUUUGAGAUGGAAUUGGACCCUGAGGGUUGCGACUUCGCUUGCUCGCUGCAGGCUGUGGACCUGGAGUAUUAGCAGAUGCCAAAAUGAGAGUAUUUGAGUGUGCGGUAUAUUUUGGUGAUUCUUGCCAAGAUGUUCUUUGCAUGCUUGGCUCUCCACACCAAGUCUUCUAUAAAUCUGAAGACAAGAUGAAAAUCCCCUCUCCUUCCCCUCAUAGACAAGUGCAAUCCAAGUACAACUACUUUUUUAACUACUUCACUCUUGGAGUGGACAUCAAAUACACGCAAAGUGAAGAAGUUUGUCUUGCAUACCAAUUACUCUGGGCAUUAUUAUUUUAACAUUUACCACCACUGUGAGUUCAAGAUCCAACUAGCUAUAAAAAAAGAAAAUGCAGGUGGUCAGACUGAAAUAUACACAACAGCAAGUGGAUAGCAUCCAGGAGCUUCUGGGCCAUCCUGUGGAGAAGCCUGUUGUCUCGCACAGGUCCUCAUCCCCAAAUAACACCAACCCGUUUGGCUCCACGUUCUGUUUUGGUCUUCAGCAGAUGAUCUUUGAGGUCAUGCAGAACAACCACAUUGCCUCAGUGACCUAUAUGCCCCCCCUAGGCCUGGUACCUACCUCAGAACAGCAGAGCUGCCCUAA